UUAGUACUAACAGCUGGACGGCAC
rnacentral:misc_RNA from 1 species